CAACAGGGAUUGCCUCAGUAACUGCGAGUGAAGCGGCAAAAGCUCAAAUUUGAAAUCUGACGUCAUUUGGCGUCCGAGUUGUAAUUUGGAGGGGCAACUUCGAGGCAGACGUGGUCCCAAGUUCCUUGGAACAGGACGUCACAGAGGGUGAGAAUCCCGUACGUGGACCGCUGUUUGGCCUCAUGUGAAGUGCCUCCGACGAGUCGAGUUGUUUGGGAAUGCAGCUCAAAAUUGGUGGUAAAUUUCAUCUAAAGCUAAAUAUUGGCGAGAGACCGAUAGCGCACAAGUAGAGUGAUCGAAAGAUGAAAAGCACUUUGAAAAGAGAGUUAAAAAGUACGUGAAAUUGUUGAAAGGGAAGCGCUUGGGACCAGACUCGACCUUGGAUUGUGCAACUGGUGCUUCUGCACGAGAAAAUGUACCUUCCGGUCGGGCCAGCAUCAGUUCUGACGGUGGGAUAAAAGUUGUUGGAAAUGUGCCUGUGUUCAAAAUUGCACAGGGUUAUAGUCCACUUCACAAUGCCGUCAGUCGGGACUGAGGACCGCGCCUUUGGCAAGGAUGCUGGCGUAAUGGUUCCAAGCGACCCGUCUUGAAACACGGACCAAGGAGUCUAACAUCUAUGCGAGUGUUCGGGUGGAAAACCCUUGCGCGUAAUGAAAGUGAACGGAGGUGGGAACCCUUUGGGGUGCACCAUCGACCGAUCCAGAUGUCUUCGGAUGGAUUUGAGUAUGAGCAUGGCUGUUGGGACCCGAAAGAUGGUGAACUAUGCCUGAAUAGGGUGAAGCCAGGGGAAACUCUGGUGGAGGCUCGCAGCGGUUCUGACGUGCAAAUCGAUCGUCAAAUUUGGGUAUAGGGGCGAAAGACUAAUCGAACCAUCUAGUAGCUGGUUCCUGCCGAAGUUUCCCUCAGG
rnacentral:rRNA from 1 species